CCAUGGGAUGAGCUGUGGAUAGCGGAGAAAUUCCAAUCGAACUCGGAGAUAGCUGGUUCUCCUCGAAAUAGCUUUAGGGCUAGCGUCGGGUAAUUGAGUAGUGGAGGUAGAGCACUGAAUGGGCUAGGGGCUGACAACAGUUACUGAACCCUAUCAAACUCCGAAUGCCAUAUACUUGUACCCCGGCAGUCAGACUACGAAUGAUAAGAUCCGUGGUCAAAAGGGAAACAGCCCAGACCAUCAGCUAAGGUCCCAAAGUGUAAGUUAAGUGGGAAAGGAUGUGGGAUUUCUAAGACAACUAGGAUGUUGGCUUAGAAGCAGCCACUCAUUUAAAGAGUGCGUAAUAGCUCACUAGUCGAGAGAUCCUGCGCCGAAGAUGUAACGGGGCUCAAACUUACCACCGAAGCUAUGGAUGGGUACUUUGUACACGUGGUAGAGGAGCUUUCUGUACAGGUUGAAGUCAUACCGUAAGGAGUGGUGGACAGUACAGAAGUGAGAAUGCUGGCAUAAGUAGCGAAAAACAAGUGAGAAUCUUGUUGACCGAAUAUCUAAGGUU
rnacentral:rRNA from 1 species